GAUGAAGAACGCAGUGAAAUGCGAUAAGUAAUGUGAAUUGCAGAAUUCAGUGAAUCAUCGAAUCUUUGAACGCACAUUGCGCCCGCCAGUAUUCUGGCGGGCAUGCCUGUCCGAGCGUCAUUUCAACCCUCGAACCCCUCCGGGGGUACGGCGUUGGGGAUCGGCCCUUUACGGGGCCGGCCCCGAAAUACAGUGGCGGUCUCGCCGCAGCCUCUCCUGCGCAGUAGUUUGCACACUCGCAUCGGGAGCGCGGCGCGUCCACGUCCGUAAAACACCCAACUUCUGAAAUGUUGACCUCGGAUCAGGUAGGAAUACCCGCUGAACUUAAGCAUAUCAAUAAGCGGAGGA
rnacentral:misc_RNA from 1 species